CAGCGCCGCGGUAAUACGUAGGGUGCAAGCGUUAAUCGGAAUUACUGGGCGUAAAGCGUGCGCAGGCGGUUAUAUAAGACAGAUGUGAAAUCCCCGGGCUCAACCUGGGAACUGCAUUUGUGACUGUAUAGCUAGAGUACGGCAGAGGGGGAUGGAAUUCCGCGUGUAGCAGUGAAAUGCGUAGAUAUGCGGAGGAACACCGAUGGCGAAGGCAAUCCCCUGGGCCUGUACUGACGCUCAUGCACGAAAGCGUGGGGAGCAAACAGGAUUAGAUACCCCUGUAGUCCCUGUCUCUUAUACA
rnacentral:rRNA from 1 species